GAAAACGACUGCUAAGACUGGAUAGGAAAUAAAAAGGCAUCUUUUUAUUUUUAAAAGACCUAGCAAUAGGUAUGCUUAGGGAAGAGCUUGCGUCACAUUAGUUAGUUGGUGGGGUAAUGGCCUACCAAGACGAUGAUGUGUAGCCGGGCUGAGAGGUCGAACGGCCACAUUGGGACUGAGACACGGCCCAAACUCCUACGGGAGGCAGCAGUAAGGAAUUUUCGGCAAUGGAGGAAACUCUGACCGAGCAAUGCCGCGUGAACGAUGAAGUAUUUCGGUACGUAAAGUUCUUUUAUUAGGGAAGAAAAGAUGGUGGAAAAACCAUUAUGACGGUACCUAAUGAAUAAGCCCCGGCUAACUAUGUGCCAGCAGCCGCGGUAAUACAUAGGGGGCAAGCGUUAUCCGGAAUUAUUGGGCGUAAAGGGUGCGUAGGCGGUUAAAUAAGUUUAUGGUCUAAGUGCAACGCUCAACGUUGUGAUGCUAUAAAAACUGUUUAGCUAGAGUUGGAUAGAGGCAAGUGGAAUUCCGUGUGUAGUGGUAAAAUGCGUAAAUAUACGGAGGAACACCAGAAGCGAAGGCGGCUUGCUGGGUCUUAACUGACGCUGAGGCACGAAAGCGUGGGGAGCAAACAGGAUUAGAUACCCUGGUAGUCCACGCCCUAAACGAUGAGUACUAAACGUUGGAUAAAACCAGUGUUGAAGUUAACACAUUAAGUACUCCGCCUGAGUAGUACGUACGCAAGUAUGAAACUUAAAGGAAUUGACGGGACUCCGCACAAGCGGUGGAUCAUGUUGUUUAAUUCGAAGGUACCCGAAAAACCUCACCAGGUCUUGACAUGCUUUUGCAAAGCUGUAGAAAUACAGUGGAGGUUAUCAGAAGCACAGGUGGUGCAUGGUUGUCGUCAGCUCGUGUCGUGAGAUGUUGGGUUAAGUCCCGCAACGAGCGCAACCCUUGUUGUUAAUUGCCAUCAUUAAGUUGGGGACUUUAGCAAGACUGCCAAUGAUAAAUUGGAGGAAGGGGGGGACGACGUCAAAUCAUCAUGCCCCUUAUGACCUGGGCUACAAACGUGAUACAAUGGCUGUUACAAAGGGUAGCUAAAGCGUAAGCUUCGGGCGAAUCUCAAAAAAGCAGUCUCAGUUCGGAUUGAAGUCUGCAACUCGACUUCAUGAAGUUGGAAUCGCUAGUAAUCGCGAAUCAGCAUGUCGCGGUGAAUACGUUCUCGGGGUUUGUACACACCGCCCGUCA
rnacentral:rRNA from 1 species